rnacentral:rRNA from 1 species
UGCGUAGGCGGCCAGAUCAGUCAGGCGUGAAAGUUUUCGGCUUAACCGGAAAAUUGCGUUUGAUACUGUUUGGCUAGAAUCAGGAUGAGGUUGGCGGAAUGUGGCAUGUAGCGGUGAAAUGCAUAGAUAUGCCAUAGAACACCGAUUGCGAAGGCAGCUGGCUGGACCUGAAUUGACGCUGAGGCACGAAAGCGUGGGGAGCGAACAGGAUUAGAUACCCUGGUAGUCC